UCAGGUACUUCUUCAUGGAUGAUGUUUGGACAUUGAAGCUUUGGGGGUAUAUCUUCUUAUGGAGUAUUGUUCUCAACAUCUGUUACUUGCAGAAACAGUUAUCAAUAUUCGAAUACAAAAAGAUAUCAACGCUGAUCCCACCAGAACAGCUAUCAGAGAAUUUGAGCAUUGAUUGAUCUAUGUUCUUGAUUUACCUUCUCUAUUUUCAACUCCAAAGUUCGGGUUCUCAGAGGAGGAGCAACUGCAGCUGGUGCGAUACCGCCUCCACAGACGAAAAUUUUCUUGAGAAGGAGAGAUAAAGUUCUUUUGCCAAUAAGUGUAGUGUCAUUAGCUUCCAUGCCCAUAUCUUUGCCUUUACUGACUUAAUUGUCUGGUAGGAAAUAUGUUUGAUGAACAAUGCUUGCUGACUUCAAAUGCCAAGGAUGGGUCCAUUUGCUUAAGGGGAGAUGAUGGAUUCUCUUGAAACCUUUUUGUGUGUGCUUGGUUCAGAUUAUCAUCUCCAAAGGUUCCGAUCGCCAGCAACACACGAGGCCAGCUGGUGAAUUCUUCUGAAAAAUCCGGGAGGCUGCUGCUGAUGCGAGUGCAUGAGGAAGAUGGACAAUGAAGAAAAGGACAUGAGAGACUGAGCUAUCAUGCACGAGGAAGAUAUCAGGAAAGAACAUCUCUUCUACCGAAAAUAUAAAAUAACAUAUCCAGUGGCCAAUGAAAAGAGAAGUGUGCAGGACACCAUUUGGGCACGUGAAGCUGUCCAUGGCAUGCAUCAUAUGGACGGUGGACCUUUAAGCAAGCUCAUAUGGGACCAUCGAAUAAGGCUUUACAGAAGGAGCAGGCAGAUAUAACUUCAACAUGGGGCCAUAACGUCGUCAUGGGCAUUAUUAGCUAAUCAGAAAUGAAAAGAGUUUAAACCUCAGAAG